UCUAGAUGCUGCCCCUGGAUUAAGUCAUGUAACUCUUGUUAAACCCGAACUGAUGAAGAAACCAAAGACAAAUCAAGAUGCUGCCCCUGGACCAAGUAAUGUGCCUUAUGCUAAAACCGAACUGAAAAAACUAAAUCCAGGAAAGAGCAGUGACGGAGCUGGCGACAUGUUCUCAGAACUGAAGCGGGCCAUGGAGAAAAAGAGUCAAAUGUCACCCAAGAACUGAUGAAACAGCUAAAGAACAUGAUAUCGCUAGUUUGAUUCCCUGGGUGAUGCUGUAGCCUUCAACAGCCGGAGGCCUGGAAAGAGCUGAUUGACUGAGCUCUCCCAUAGGGGUGAGAUGGGAGGCACAUGGCGCGCUCACAUAAAUCAUGGCUGAUUGAUGUGACUAUAUACAUGCUUUUAUAAAAGCUUUAGAAUAAUCAUGCUUUGCUAAAUUUUUUUAUAGUAUUACUAUGAUUGUGCUUUACAUUUUUAUGGUUGUACUUUUAAGACUAUAUACAUGCUUUUAGAAAAGCUUUUAAAUAAUUACGCCUUGAAAAAAAAAAUUAUGUGGUAUUUUUAUAAUUGUGCCUUACGUUUUUAUGAUUGUACUUUCAUAAUUUCAUUUCUGGUUUAUUAUUUUGUUCUAUCAUUUUUUAAACUAU